GGUUCAUUGGCUUUUAUCAGUAAACCCAUCAGAAGCUGAUAAAAACACAUGAUAUCUGAAAGGCUUCAUUAACGUAUCUUCUCGCAGUGCUUGUCACCGAGGGGGUACGUUUUUCU
rfam:Alkalibacterium sp. 20 contig6, whole genome shotgun sequence.